CAUUACAAACUUUUCUUUUUUGUUGAUUUGUUCACCAGUAAUCCUGGCUGAGUCAAUCUUUUGUAGCGUCGACCCGUACAUGUGGACAUUUAGCAGAGGUUUGUCCGAAGGCGUAACCAUGAUCGGGGAGUGCUGUGCUCGCGUGAUCGAGUCGAAGAGCUCAGACUUCCCCGUGGGUACCAUCGUCAUGCACCGUUAUGGCUG